UGUGCUAUGAGGAUAAAUUUCCAACUGAUAUCCCUGAAGACAGGAUAAUACGCUAUUCUGAGCCCUCA